CCCGGAGGUGGAAGCCUUGCCAAGUUCCCGGCAAGCGGAGCGGCGAGGGUGAGGACCCACUGGAAGUCAACGGCCUCGCCGGCGGCCUCCCAGCAGCUCCAAAACCGAGCUGUCGGCUGCGGCGACAACGGCAGUUGUGGAGGCUGCCUUGGCUUGGGCAGCAACUGAGGCCACCCCAGGCGGAGCGGAGGCCUUGAUGGAAUCUUGAUCCCGGGCGAGACACGAAUCAAGAGGAGGCGGAGGGUCAUGCCCCUGGAAGACAAGAUGAGUAUUCUCGAAGCUGGACGAAGGCGUGAGUCAGAGGGAAGUGUGUGUCCUGCCUUUUUGGGGUUAAUCAGUCGACAGUGCGCACCAUUAAAAAAAACGAGAGGGCUAUCGGGCCAGCGUGGAGAGUAUGGCACUCAUAUGCUCCAAGCUGCUGUGCUUUCCCCGUGAUGUAAACAUCGAGAAGAUGGAGACCCGGUUAACUUUUUGGGCGGACGAUCAGACCAUGGCCGGGGGAGGGGGUGGGACGGUAUCUGACUCCAAAGGCUAUUUGCUACUGGGCCAAACAUAUCUGUAAGGAAGUGGUGGAAAUCUCUGGGGUGGGCAACCUAGAUGAGUUACAUGCGAGCAAGGAAUGGCUUGAGAACUUUAAACAUCGCUACUGUCUGUGAAAUAUGAGGUUGAUGAGGUAGGAAGGACAGUUAAAUGUUGAAUUGGUAUCCCAGUAUUCCAAGUGACUGGAGAGACUGAUCAGAAAACUAGAGGCUCUCUGUACCUCAGCAGAUCCUCAACGCCAAGGAAAGGAGCCUAUUUUGGAAGUGCUUGUUUUCACAUACUUUUAGGGAAAAAGACAAAAAUCCGGAAAGAUUAGAGGAAGCUAAGAACAAGAUUUCUCUCAUUUUUUUGGUGCCAGUGCCUCAGGUGACAAAAUGAUAAAAACCACUGCAGCUUUACAAAGACUCUAAUCCCACUUGUCUUUUGGAAAGAGCUAAAAAAUACCUUCCUGUUUUCUAGUGAUCACAUCCCAUAGUAUCAGUAACUGCUGCCUUCUUUUUGGGUUGUUUUCAUAAUUGUUUUAUCUAUUAGGUCUGAAGUUAUUUAACAAAGAAAUCUGGAAUUCAGAGUGUUGCUAAUUGUGGACAGAGGUCCCAGUCAUCCAGAUUCAUUAUUCUUUGCUCUUUCUAAUGUUUAUAUUGUAUUUCUCCCUCAGGAAGGCACUAGCUUUCUCCAGGCCCUGGAUCUAGGUAUAAUUGAAGCAUUCAGGAGAUACUACACCAAGCGUAUAUGUUUGACCCCUUGCUGACUGUGUUGAAAAAAACCCUCCCCUUAGUUUAAAAGAAACAUGGCAACAUUACAACAUUACUGUUUCUUCAGUAGUGAUAAAAGAGGUAGUAAUAAAAGAGGUAAUAGAUGAUAGAUAGCCAGCUGCUCUUAAUAAAACAUGGUGGAAACUUUGAGAGCAUGUUGUGAAUGAUUAUGCAUAUUUUUCUAGAACUGAUGAAGUUAAAAAAUCACAGUGUUUGCAAAACAGAUUUUUUAAUUCAUCAAUAUCAAGGAAAGUGAAAUUAAUGAGCUACUUAAGUUUCAAUCUUUGGUGAUAAAUAAAGCAAAAGAGUUGAAGAAAGAAGGAAGGCAAAUGAUAAAGAGGAAGUAGUGUGGGUGAAGGAGAUGGAUACAGAAUCUGAGUCUGAGUCCCAAUCAGAAUCUGAUAAGGAACAGGAGAAGGUAGAGGAUAAGAAGCACCUGGACCCUCCAGCAGCAGCACUCAGGGUCUUGAUAUAUCUGAAGAAAAUGCUCAAGAAGUGAAUACAGAAUUGAACUUUGGACUCUGACCUUGAAAAUGAAUCUAGAGAGAGUAGAGGUAACUACCUCCAGAGGCUGGUUUUCCAAUAAUAGUUCAUCUCCUGCCAUCCUUCUCUUGUUACCCCAACACAUCACCUUCAUCACUGCCAUCAUCCUAAUCAUCACCAGCCACACAUCCAUAUCAUUUAGUCAUUCAACAAACAUUGAGCUUAAAUUCUGCAGGGUCUUGAGCUAACCUUGGGGACAUCAUCUAAAGAUAUCAUCUCUGGAUCUGAGAUCCUGACAGCUUCUUUCCUGACAUACCCCAUGCUCAUGCUCAGGACCCUUAGCCUGCAGCUGUGUCUUUGGCACUCAUUCUAUCGUCUUUGUCAACUGUCCCAACGAGCAAAUUGCCAGAGACAUUACCAGGCAGCCUCCUACAGGAAGGCCUCCAGCUCACAGUGGAACUGAUACUACAGUCUACCUUAUUCUGUUCUCACCUCUCCUCAGGAGACCGAAAGCACCUCCAGGCAUUUUCCUCCUCCCUUGUACACUGCUGAAGUGACUCAGACACAGCACUGCCUUCAGGGGACAGUCUACAGGGAGGGCUGAAGGCCUCAUGUACUGAAGAGUCUGGGCCUCAAACCCUGAGCAUGUGGAAGGGAGGCCUCCCAACACUUGGGGAAGUUGAAGAAGCUGAGGUAAUUAAACCCCUGUGAGAGACAAGGUGGGUCAAGUGAGUACCCAAGUUACUCAGCUGGGCUGUAACUACUGCCUCUGGACCCUUAGUUAUCCACAGACCUUGGGGCUGAGAUUCAAGACUUCAGAGGGUCCCGGAGGCUGCAUUUCCUGAGGGCAGACACUCGUCUGUGUUUCCUUCCACAAUGCCUGGUGCAGUCAGCCCAAGGGAGCAGGCUACAUGGAGGCCCAGGUUGGCAAGGAAGGAUCAAAGACUCUUGCCCCACCCAGGGCAAGGAUCCCCUCCAAGCAUCCCCAAUAUGCAGGACCCCCAGCUCCUGUUUGCACUUCUCCAGGGAAAAGGAUUUUAAUAUUUCACCAAUAGCCUGUUACAUUGGCUUUGACGAUGAAAAGGUUAUCUUGGCUUCCAUACAUUAGUAGCCCGACCACCAUCACAUUUUUAAAGUGCUUACCAAGUGCCAGAUGAGGAAAUAGGCUCAGCAAGCAGUGGAACCUGGCCAAGGACAGACAGCCGGUACGUGGCAGAGGCGCCCUCUGUCUCCAAAGCCCAGGGGCUUGGAGAAGAAUCAGUCUGCACUGGCCAUUCUUGGACAAAGGGGCAAUUUGAAAGCCCUACGAACUGGCUGGGUUCCGUGGCCUCUACUUGGCAGGCUUCUUGGAAUCAUCUCUUACGGCCCUCAGCGCACUUUUCUAAACAGCUGGUUGGAUGGUGUUGGCUCUAAGAACGGCACCUGCAAAACCAGGCUCUGGCUUCUCUCGCUGCCAGCGGAACCAGAGGGAAUUCCCCGGCAAUGCCCCCUCCAUCACCGGUCUGAGCGCCAGGCUGGAGGAUGGGCAGAGAGACGCCGAGCCUAGGACCAGGGGCCCGAGAGGAAAGGUUUACCCUCUUGAUCUUCCCGAGGUAAUACAGUCCGUCUGUCCACCGGCACAGCACAUACUGGCCCUCCGUCAGCUUGGACAUCAGGUCUUUGAAGUUGUUCUUGGCCUUCGCCAGGGCCCCCUUGUUGGGGAGGUGGCUGGUGGCACCAUAGGAGUCCCGAGUCCCUGGAUCCAGAGCUCGAUUCUCCAUCAGCUUCCAC